GAUGAACGCUGGCGGCGUGCCUAAUACAUGCAAGUCGAGCGAACAGACGAGGAGCUUGCUCCUCUGAUGUUAGCGGCGGACGGGUGAGUAACACGUGGAUAACCUACCUAUAAGACUGGGAUAACUUCGGGAAACCGGAGCUAAUACCGGAUAACAUGUUGAACCGCAUGGUUCAACAGUGAAAGACGGUUUUGCUGUCACUUAUAGAUGGAUCCGCGCCGCAUUAGCUAGUUGGUAAGGUAACGGCUUACCAAGGCAACGAUGCGUAGCCGACCUGAGAGGGUGAUAGGCCAAACUGGAACUGAGAAACGGUCCAGACUCCUAAGGGAGGCAGCAGUAGGGAAUCUUCCGCAAUGGGCGAAAGCCUGACGGAGCAAAGCCGCGUGAGUGAAGAAGGUCUUCGGAUCGUAAAACUCUGUUAUUAGGGAAGAACAAAUGUGUAAGUAACUAUGCACGUCUUGAAGGUACCUAAUCAGAAAGCCACGGCUAAAUACGUG
rnacentral:rRNA from 1 species